AAGUUAUUGUGCCUGCAUACAAUGAAUUCAAGAUACACUGACCAUUGACCAUUUGACAGCUAAUUCACUCUUUAUAGUUUUAAUUCUACGCUAAGCUAUGAGGCUACGAAUUGCAUCAACAAUGUUACCUUUAUUUGACCUCACAAUAUUAUAUACACAAGCUUUGCCACUGGAAGCUUCUUGUGAUUUAGAUAAGAAUAAAAAGUUAGCCCUUGCUCUAAAAAUAACCUAAAUUGGAUAUCUAACAAAUUACUAAGUUGAUUGAAGGAGUGAAACGCGUCUAUUUGUUCAUUUAAUAAUUCCAAUGAUUUCUUGUGUCUUGCUUCAGAAGAUACCCCAUUCGUGUUUCACCUAUAGCAAGAUUAAGGAGUGUGUUUCGGGUACAAAGAUUGAUGGAACUAAAUCUCUUUUUUAGUUUGAUUCUUUUUAUUAGUCCAUGAAAUGUAAAACAGCAGGAUUUGUUAUCGGAUAGGUUGUCUUCAAAGUCCUUAAUCAAAAAUGUAAUGAGACCACUCUAGAAUUCAAUUGAGUCGCAAGACUUAGUUAUGGAUUCCAAGUCAAGUUUUGAGUCUUUGAUCAUGAUAUCGUUUUCAAAAUAUGGACUCAGCUCCAAAUCGAGUCGUAAGCCUUGAGUUCAAGUUCCCACCUUUGUCAAUAAUUGACCAUUUUAUAUUAAAUUAUACAUUUAUAACUGUACUAUUAAUUAUUAUAAUAACAUUGAAUAAACCAUAAGUAAAUGUA
rnacentral:lncRNA from 1 species